AGGGGGCGACUGCAAGGGGGGUGCAUGGGUCAAGGGGUGCGGUGCAAAGCGGGGUGCAGUGCAAAGGGUGGGGCAGGGAAACGAGGGGGUGCUAGAGCAAGGUGGAGUGCAGUGCAGGGCGGGGUUCGGCUGAAAAGGGUGCACGGAGGAGAAGCGUGCGGCGGGCAGGGGUGCAAGCCUCAGAGCUUCCAGCGUGAUGGUGCUUGGGGAAAGCUGCAGGAAACGCCGACGUUCGUCCUCUGGCAGACCUGGGCGGGAAGAGGGAGCACGCCGUGUUGCUGGUGGAAAUGAUCAACGACAAACGUGACCCAUCAAUUAACGUGGAUCACGAGUCUGAGCAGGAACCAGCUAGGCCAAGUCCAACUCUCAGGCAGUUUUAUUCCUUGCUCCCUGUCUGUUUCUUGAGACUGAAAAUCCAGCCACCCUAUUUCAUGAGGAUACUCUCCGAGGUGGUUAUAUGGCACGACAUUGGGCGCUGGGAAGAGAAUGCCUUGUUUACGUUCCCCAACGUGCCUCCAGUUCCCUUUGUGACCACAGCGAGUUCCUUAAACUCUGCAGAUCUGCAAUCCAGAAUGACAAGCAAAACUUACAUGUCAAGGGCAUCUGAAGCCUGACGGAUUUUUGCGUGGAGCUUCAGAUCCCCAUGAGGACGGCAGCUGAGAAAAGAAGAUAAAACCCUGUUGUAAGGGUGGUAGUGAUGGAUACCGAUUAUUAUUUGUUUAAUUAAAAGAGCCUGGACAGACGCAGAGGCAACAAUUAAUUAUCUCAUGUAAAAACUUUGACCACGGCUAAAUAAAUUAAUGGGUUAUGAGAUGAAGACA
rnacentral:lncRNA from 1 species